GGUUAGUAACGCGUGGGAAUAUGCCCGACACUAAGGAAUAGCCUCUGGAAACGGAGAGUAAUACCUUAUACGCCCUUCGGGGGAAAGAUUUAUCGGUGACGGAUUAGCCCGCGUUAGAUUAGAUAGUUGGUGGGGUAAUGGCCUACCAAGUCUACGAUCUAUAGCUGGUUUUAGAGGAUGAUCAGCAACACUGGGACUGAGACACGGCCCAGACUCCUACGGGAGGCAGCAGUGGGGAAUCUUGGACAAUGGGCGCAAGCCUGAUCCAGCCAUGCCGCGUGAGUGAUGAAGGCCUUAGGGUCGUAAAGCUCUUUCGCCAGAGAUGAUAAUGACAGUAUCUGGUAAAGAAACCCCGGCUAACUCCGUGCCAGCAGCCGCGGUAAUACGGAGGGGGUUAGCGUUGUUCGGAAUUACUGGGCGUAAAGCGCGCGUAGGCGGAUUAGUCAGUUAGAGGUGAAAUCCCGGGGCUCAACCCCGGAACUGCCUUUAAUACUGCUAGUCUUGAGUUCGAGAGAGGUGAGUGGAAUUCCGAGUGUAGAGGUGAAAUUCGUAGAUAUUCGGAGGAACACCAGUGGCGAAGGCGGCUCACUGGCUCGAUACUGACGCUGAGGUGCGAAAGUGUGGGGAGCAAACAGGAUUAGAUACCCUGGUAGUCCACACCGUAAACGAUGAAUGCCAGUCGUCGGGUAGC
rnacentral:rRNA from 1 species